rnacentral:antisense_RNA from 1 species
UUUAUGGGUGGGCCGUGUGGUGGCAUCUUCGGAUGCGCCGGACCCUCUACCCGGUACGCCAACGCCACACGGUUCCGCCCUCUCA